rnacentral:tRNA from 1 species
UGGGGAAUUAGCUCAGCUGGGAGAGCGCAUCGCUGGCAGCGAUGAGGUCAGGGGUUCGAGCCCCCUAUUCUCCAU